GGUGGUGCAGCAGGUUGGUGAUUGGUAGAAGGCUCUCACCUUUCUGGUGUGAAGCAGUGAGGUGCCCCAGCUCAGGGGCCAAACGCAGAGCUGUGCAGGUGGGCUGUGCUCACAGGAGCUGUAACAGUGGUCUGGGGAUGCUGAUCCUGGCCUGGCCCACUGCCCUUGCAGGGUUCACUCAGUUGUUUCAUUUCUGCCUUUUGCAGGAUUUUCAGCUCAAGGACAGGACAGGCCAUUCCACUGCAAGGGUCUGGUGCUGAGCACAUCAGUGAAGUCUUGCAGCCUCCACAUAUGGCUGAGCAUGAUCUUCAACAUCAUCAGCAAACUAUGUGAACUUCUCUCAGAGCAGAAGGGAUUUGCUUUCCAUCCAUGAAAAUGCAAGUGACCUUGGAUGAUGGGGGAAGUGGUGUGGUCUGUUCCAUUUCCCAGGAAUCUGCCAUUGUCCAGCACUGGCAGCAACUGUGUAAGGAAGGGCUGCCAGUUUUCCUCACGUGGUGUCCAGGCUGAAAAUCAGGUACAGGCAACUUGACAUUGAUCCCACACUUGAGAAGGGAUUGAUACCAGUGGGAACAAGUGGCACAGAGGAGUUAGAUGGCUGCUUGCAUCCUAAGACCGUGAGGGAGCCUCAUCUGUCUCUGGAUAAGUGACAUGGAGCUAUACUUUAAACACCCUUGUCUCCAAGAUACAAAAUGCUAUCUUGUUUUUCUUCUGCCCGUGAUCAUCUCUGCAUAGCAGUUAGAAACGGCAGAAGCACCACAAGACAAGUUUUAUAGAAAAAUGGUGUAUUAGGUAAGGAGGAAGCCAUGAAAGCACUGCCAGGCUGUGAACGUCUCCCUCUAGAGCUGUUCAGGAGCUCUGAUAAAC